rnacentral:misc_RNA from 1 species
GAGCUUUUCAUGAUAAAGAUCUUAAGAAUAUCCACUCCAGGAAAACAAAAUGAAAGAGAGGUCAAUUUUGUCAAGGUAGCUACCUCCUCACUCAUUUCUCUUGCAACCUCAUUCCACCAUUGAUUACCCACCCUAACAUCAAUGACCAAUUCUUCCAACAAAGAAAGUUUUGAAAUGAUGUUUCGGUAAAUUUCCAUCCUCCUUGAUCUUCCAUCAAUAUUUGAGAAUGACAUACGUAAACACCUCAGCUGUCUCAAACAUCCAACUUCAAUGGGUAAAUAAUUAAUCUUAGUGCCUCGAAUAUCAAGCACCUCAAGAUGCUGCAAAGUGUCUAUUCUUGAUGGGAGCUUUAUUAAUUGAUUGCAACAAUUUAAAUAGAGUGCUCUGAGGCUUUGCAAGCAAGAUAGAGACAAUGGUAAUGUUGUAAUCUUGGUUCCAUGCAAGUCUAGAACUCGAAGAUUUUGCAUAGAUCCAAAGAAUUGCUCAGGGAUCAUUGUCAAAUCACCAUUUCUCUGUAGCAACAG